UGAGCUUAGUGAAGCUCGGCAUUGUUACUGAUUAUACCCUCCUGCGAGCUGAUGGUUCUUAGAAGAACUUGAAGUUUGUUGCGAAGUUGACUGAAGCGGCGUUUUGAGAGAGCUUUGUAACAAGAAGACCAAAGGCAACAGCAAGCUUCUCACUAUGAUACUUCAAUGAAUACUCUUUCUGUUCAUCAUCCACAUCAUGCAAGGCAAAGUGCUUAAAGGAUUGGACCUAUCUCCACAGACAAAUUCAUAUCGGGUUUCGUUUACUGUAAUCCAACUAGAACCUUGAA